rnacentral:rRNA from 1 species
UGAGGAAUAUUGGUCAAUGGGCGCGAGCCUGAACCAGCCAUUCCGCGUGAAGGAAGAAGGCCUUAUGGGUUGUAAACUUCUUUUCUGUAAGAAGAAACCCUCGAUCGUGAUCGGGGCUGACGGUACCGUAAGAAUAAGGAUCGGCUAACUCCGUGCCAGCAGCCGCGGUAAUACGGAGGAUCCAAGCGUUAUCCGGAUUUACUGGGUUUAAAGGGUGCGUAGGCGGAUUAAUAAGUCAGUGGUGAAAUCCUACAGCUUAACUGUAGAACUGCCAUUGAUACUGUUAGUCUUGAGUAUUGUUGAGGUAGGCGGAAUGUGUCAUGUAGCGGUGAAAUGCUUAGAUAUGACACAGAACACCAAUCGCGAAGGCAGCUUACCAAGCAAUAACUGACGCUCAUGCACGAAAGCGUGGGGAUCAAACA